UACGUAGGGUGCAAGCGUUGCCCGGAUUUAUUGGGCGUAAAGGGCGCGUAGGCGCUCGACACGUUCGUUGUGAAAUCGCCCGGCUCAACUGGGCGGGGUCAGCGGAUACGGUCGAGCUUGAGCAAGCUAGGGGGCAAUGGAAUUCCCGGUGUAGUGGUGGAAUGCGUAGAUAUCGGGAGGAACACCAGUGGCGAAGGCGGUUGCCUGGGGCUUUGCUGACGCUGAUGCGCGAAAGCGUGGGGAGC
rnacentral:rRNA from 1 species